AGAGGGUGCAAGCGUUAAUCGGAAUUACUGGGCGUAAAGGGCGCGUAGGUGGUUCGUUAAGUCAGAUGUGAAAGCCCCCGGGGGCUUAACCUGGGGAACUGCAUCUGAUACUGGCAGACUAGAGUGCAGUAGAGGAAAGUAGAAUUUCCGGUGUAGCGGUGAAAUGCGUAGAUAUCGGAAGGAAUAUCGGUGGCGAAGGCGACUUUCUGGACUGUAACUGACACUGAGGCGCGAAAGCGUGGGGAGCAAACAGGAUUAGAUACCCUGGUAGUCCACGCCGUAAACGAUGAGAACUAGCUGUUGGGAGGCUAAUACCUCUCAGUGGCGCAGCUAACGCGUUAAGUUCUCCGCCUGGGGAGUACGGCCGCAAGGCUA
rnacentral:rRNA from 1 species